AGCAGCCGCGGUAAUUCCAGCUCCAAUAGCGUAUAUUAAAGUUGUUGCAGUUAAAAAGCUCGUAGUUGAAUUUCGGGGUUAGUAGGUUGGUCAUGCCUCUGGUAUGUACUGGUCUCACUGAUUCCUCCUUCCUGAUGAGCCGUAAUGCCAUUAAUUUGGUGUUGCGGGGAAUUUGGACUGUUACUUUGAAAAAAUUAGAGUGUUUAAAGCAAGCUAACGCUUGAAUACAUUAGCAUGGAAUAAUGAAAUAGGACGUUCGAUCCUAUUUUGUUGGUUUCUAGGAUUGACGUAAUGAUUAAUAGGGAUAGUUGGGGGCAUUAGUAUUCAAUUGUCAGAGGUGAAAUUCUUGGAUUUAUUGAAGACUAACUACUGCGAAAGCAUUUGCCAAGGAUGUUUUCAUUAAUCAAGAACGAAAGUUAGGGGAUCGAAGACGAUCAGAUACCGUCGUAGUCUUAACCAUAAACUAUGCCGACUAGGGAUCGGAUGAUGUUAAUUUUUU
rnacentral:rRNA from 1 species